UACAAGUGCCCCAGCUGUGGGAAGAGCUUCUGCAGCAGCUCCAACCUCCUCGCCCACCAGUGUGUCCACACAGGGGAACGGCCCUACGAGUGUGAGGAAUGUGGGAAGACCUUCAUCUAUGGCUCCCACCUCUUUGCCCACCGCCGGGUGCACACGGGGGAACGGCCCUACAAGUGCUUGGAAUGCGGGAAGGGCUUCACCGUCAGCUCCCUCCUGAUCCACCACCAGCAGAUCCACACUGGGGAACGGGGACCUCAGCCCUACAAAUGUGGGGAAUGCAAGAAAAGCUUCACCUACAAUUCUCAACUCGUCACCCACCAGCGGGUGCACACGGGGGGAGAAACCCUACAAGUGUGGAGAGUGGAAGAAAUGGUUUAGAGUCAGC